AAAAGGUCAUUCUACAAUCUAGACCUGUGACUGCCCUCUAAUCACAGGCCAAUUAUAACCGACGAUUCCAAAGCUGAUUGGUCUGUUCAACCUGCAACUUCCUCACUCCCUCUCAUCGUAUUCUCUCUCUCUCUCUCUCUCAAAUUGCGUAUCGCUCACCCACAGCCUACGAUUAUAUUCAGUGUCAGCAAUUUCAUUUUUGGAAUUGGCACCUUAAUUGAAAAUUUCCGCUCUUCAAUUUUCAAAACCCUAACGUUCAAUAUUUAUAUAUUCAAAUACAAUUUCUCCAGUUUCUGUCUUGCGCAAAAAAGUACAGCAGGAAUAAAUGAGAGGGGAAGGAGUUCUAAGAGAUCAUUCUCAAGGUAGACAGUGGCCUGGGAAGCGAACUCUUAGGGGCUGCAAGAUGAAAGGGAAUCUUGAUAAUGUUGUUUACAUUGAUGUCGACAGUGAAAAUCUUGAUAAUGUCAUUAUCAUUGAUGUUCCUGAGUCUUUGCAACAAAAAAUACGGGGAUCUAAUUUAGGGAAAGGUAAAAAUAUUCAGUUCAGAGGCAUAAUUAACAUUGAUGAUGAUGAAAGCAAUGGAGUGGAGUUUUCCGGGGUUGGUGUAGAAGGUGGUACUGAUUUGGACAGUGAUACCUCUUCUAGCAAAAGUUUUCCUGCUCCUGAAUCUGUGCAUAAUUCUCUGAACUUAAGCGAUGAUGAAUGCCAGGUUGUUAGUGAAAAAAAUUCUGUAUUCAGAGUAUCUAAGUGCAAGCAGUCCUGCUCUGGGAAAUUUCCCUGUAGAAAUCGUUAUGGUUUAAGUUCAGAGAGCGAGAGUGACUCAUCAGAUAGUGAUUGUUCUGAUUGUGAGCUGAUGGAAGGUUCUUUUGGAAAGCUUCAUAAAGAGUGGGAAAAAGCUUCUCUGAAGAGAAAAUCUAAUUUUUGUGGAGGUAAAUCUGGUUUUGAGGAUCAAUCUAGUCCCUCUUGUGCCAAUGAUGAUGCAGGUGCUGAAGGAGGGAAAAGGGCUGAACAACACUCUGAUGCUGCUGCUCACUGUAAAUCUAGCACUGACAAUUAUAAGAAGCAUAAUUCUGCCUUUGAUCCAACAGAUGACCGAGACUUGGGCUCUUCUCUAAAUUCUGGAAUGAGAUGUUCUUUUGUGGAGUCUGAUCAGAAUGUUGGCCAAGAAAGUAGUUUUCAUGAUGAAGAGCAAAUAUCUCCUAAGACGGGAACCUGCUUUAUGGGUAAGCAAAAAAAAUUUAUAGGAGAACGGGUUACUCCACAAGGAUUUAACUGGUUUUUUAACCAUAGUAAAACUGGUUUGGAGGAUGAAGACGGUUUUUUAUUCAAGGGCCAAAAAUCUGGUACAACAUAUUCUAAUAAUGAGAGAGUUUUUCCAAGUGACAAAUAUGAAGAGUUUUCUCAGACAUCUAGUUGCUGUGCGUCUCAUCAAAAGGCUCAUAAUACUGGAACUGGAUUCAUGGAAAAAGAGAAACCUGUUUGUAAGGAGCCCUUUGUUUCAAGUUCUCGACCAUCUUACAAAGCAAGAGCUGAAUGUAGUGCAGCUCCUUUUGAGCAUAAUGUCGGGGAUGCCUUUGACGAAUCUUUCUUAUUCAAGACUUCCUCACCAAGGAUGCCGGAAAUUUGUAAUGAGAAGGUUGGCCAAGUAGAUACAGAGAAACCUGACCCUGAGAGGAUUUCUGAGUGUAACACAGAGUGUGCUGAAACACAAAGUAAGCAGGGGAAUUCAUGUUCUGAAGAACUUGGGGAGCAAGUUAUUGGUUCAACAGCUGAUAGUCGACCAUGUAAUGGAAGGGAUCCAGUUUAUGCUCAAAGUGAUGCUGUGAUACCUGAUUUGCAAAAUGAUAUAAUUAGUAAACGUGAAAAACUCAAGGAGACUGAUGAAUACAAGCGAGCAAUGGAAGAAGAAUGGGCAUCCAGGCAGCUGCAGCUACAAAUUCAGGGAGAAGAGGCCCAAAGGUUGCGUAAGAAAAGACGAGCAGAAAGCAUCCGUUUAUUAGACAUGGAGAGAAGGCAAAAACUACGGCUGGAAGAAAUUAGGGAGACACAAAAGAAGGAUGAGGAGAAUAUGAACUUGAAAGAGCAACUCCGUGUUGAAGUGAGAAAGGAGCUUCAUAAAUUGGAAACAACAUGCAUUGAUAUGGCCUCAUUACUUCAAGCCUUGGGAAUCAAUGUUGGAGGGAGUUUUCAUCCCUUGUCACAUGAAGUACGUGCAGCUUAUAAACGAGCUUUGUUAAAAUUUCAUCCUGACCGUGCAUCAAAGACUGACAUUCGACAGCAAGUUGAAGCCGAGGAAAAAUUUAAGCUUAUUUCUCGCAUGAAGGAGAAAUUUUUAUUAACUUAAUGUCAUUGAAUGCUAACAAAAGGUUACUAAUUGUACACUAUUCUUUUUGUUGGUGAUGAUUGCCAUUGACAAGAAGGCGUGAAGCAAGACUUGAAGUCCAUGUUGUGGUUGAACUGUUAUGAACUGCACUGGUGAAUGGACAUAAGUUGGAGACAGAGUGAAUUUGUAUCGUUGCAGAAUCAUUGAGAGAGUCAGCUUUGUUUCUAUAGAUGCAAAAUUCAAGCCUACACAUGUCCGAGGCCCCAAACCAAAGGGUAAAAAUGCCGCCAUGUUGUUGUUGGUAGCUUUAGCAACCCCUUCUGCAAAUCUUUCAGGUUUGAAAAGUUUGUCUGAUUCAAUAUCAUCUGGUGUCCUCACAAGCUUACUGCAACAAUUAAAAGCAGAGCCUCAGUUUUUAUAUUGAUUUUAAAGGACAACCAAAUCACAGAGAUGAAGCUUACUCAAGUACUGGAAUCCUUAUUCUGAAGGAACUUCUGAGAAUGAUGGUAACCAUCGUUGUUAGCAUAUUGAAUAUGUUCUUCCCUUCCAAGUAACUGCUUCCAAAAGCCGUCCUGGAGAUAAUUUCUGAUGUUAAAACCUUGAAUUCUUGGAAUACAUCAAUCUCCUUGCCUUCAUACUGUCUCCAUCUUUCUAGCAUCAUCUCCACACUCGCGAUCAUUGAAGGGAUCAUAUUCUACAAAAGGAAUAAACAUGAAAUCCUCUGUACCAGUUUCCAAUUGUUGGUUCGGGGAGUUGGGGGAAUUUUACCUUCAAGGUCUCCGCAUGGAAAGUGUAGUUGGCCAAUUUCCUUUGCUUCAACCAUUUUUGACCUUGCGCAGUUGCAAGCCCAUCUCCGAAAAGCUUCUUCGAAAUAUAUGCCAGCUUUCUUUUGGGAUUGGAGUCCACCAGAAUUUGUGAAUAAACUUGAAGACAACUAAGAGGAGUAGCAAGCAUAAACAACCUGAAAGGUAGACGGUCAUGGUUGCCAUCAUCACCAGAACCUUGUGCUUCUUUUUUCAAAAUCAGAAUCAGGAUCAACUUAAUGGGGUUAUUUUCUUCAACAAAAGUGGGAUAUAUAUGGACCAAGAUGAGGUUCAAGUGAGUGACAGAUCGAGAUCCAGAUUAAGCUUUGACUUAAUUUGAUAGAUGAGAGGGAAGCGAGGACGAUAUUCAGACUCGUGACAUGGCCAUUAAAUUAUAAUAAUUGAAUUUAUUACUAAAA